AAUGUACAAUGUAAAUAAAUUGAACCAAGUAAUGUACUAAAAUAUGCAAUGUUAUAAUUUAAAACUCGUUAUGUUAGUCUUUUGAAAAGAAUUAAACUCAAAAGAGAUAUACUUGUUUACAGUGCAAAUUAAUGGCAAUAAUAGGGAUUUACGAUUUAAUUUGCAGGAAAAACAUGGGCAACCUACCCAGUUGGUAAAAUUUGUAGAUUUUACUGUGUGGAUGUCACAGAAAGAGAAACAAAAUAAUAUUCAGUCACAGGAGUACAAGAACAUGAAACAUCUUAUUAUGUAUGUAUGCCAUUCUCAAACAAUUAUUGUACAAAACAAGAUAGAGAAGAGCUUUAAAAUCCCAAGGAUCCUGCGAAAAGAAAAGUGAAAAUGUUGUCUCAAUUAAUGUAGUAUAGAUAGACAUUUUUCUUUAUUUUAGUAUUAAAUAAUUAUUUAGAAUAUUAAUAGGUAUUAGUUUUAAUAGUAUUAAUAUGUAUUGUAUGAAUAAUUCCCAUCAUAUAACUUCUGGCUAAAGUUACAAAAUAAAUAAGAAUGUAAAAACAUUUAAGUGGUGUAGCACCUUUACUUUACCUGGGGACGAGGUGAGUUAUUAGGUAAAUUCUAUUUUCUUACAUAAUAUAGGUACAUAUAUAAUAUACUUAAAAAUGAAUGGUGGUAUUAUUGUGGUUUAUAUUGAAAGCCAAAGCAAGUAAGAAUAAGAAGAUAUAGGUAGCAGUAUAAGAAGACGUGGCUACAGGCGAAGCGUGUUCAUGAAUGUGUUAAUAAUAAUAAUUUUAUAUCUAUUUUGUUAAUACAUUUUACUAUUAAAAACAAUUAUUAAAAUAUGCCAAAAACGCCCACAAAGUGGCUUUAAGUUUUAAUACACAGUAUGUGGACUUCAACUAGGAAGAUUAUGUUAAGUAUGAGCAGAAUAAAGGUUAACAAUUUUGAUGUUAAUGUUUUAUUGUCAUAGGUUGUCUUUUUUUAUUAUAUUUAAUGCAUCUUUCUUCUUUACCCAGUGCUUCCAUAGUUUACCUUUUAUUAACUUUUUUAAAAUUCAGUAAUCCAUGUAUUUCAAAUCAUCUAACUGACCAGCAAACAGAGUAACAUCUAAAUGAGGUGUUUUUUUAGUCUUAAUUGAUCGGUGACAUAAACAUGACCGAAAUGUCAGGUUUAAUAACCAAUUUGCCAUCAAUUGGGCUUUUCAUCGAUUGUACUUGUUUCGGGCUUCUGUCACAUUUCGUAUAAUCUGUGUAUAUUAAUAUUAUACACGGAUUAUAUGAAAUCUGACAGAAGCCGAAACAAAUGACUGUUGAUGAAAAACCCUAUACAUCACAUGGAACUUGAAUGACAUUAAAUUGAGCAAUUUUAUAUUUAACGUUUUAUUGUGGUAAUUUUGUGACAUAAGACAUAAUAAAUGACGUCUUUAGGCUGACAUUUUGACCAUAGAAAGACGUCUUUAUGACGUGGAUUUGUCAUAUUCAAUUGACGUCUGUAUUACCUCAAGCUAGUUUUUGGGUGUACACAACUAAACAACAGUUUUUUGACUGAUAGGUUUAUUUCAUUAAAUCAAAACUUAAAUGAAUAUAAUUAAAAUAAGAUAAGAAUAACAAAUAUGAUUUGCUACAUACAAAUGUGUUAGGGUUAAAAAAUACAUAAAACAUGACAUUACACACUUUGACCUAAAUCUAAACUAAAAAGUUAUUAUUGUUAUAAUCGGAAUUAAAAAAUAUAGUAACAAAAUUUAUGAACAGGUUUAAGACCAUUUAAUAAAGUAAUUCCUAGCUAUAAAAAUAGUUUUUACUUAUGUAUAAUAAUAAAUAUUAUAUUAAUAAAUGUAGUAGUUUUUACUUAAUAUGUCAUACCUAUACAAAAAAGAGGCAAUUAAAUUCUUAUAAAUAUAUUUCCGAAAACAUUUGUUUGCUGUGCUGCAUAUGGUUAAUUUAUUAAUUUUCAUUAUAAAAAUAAAAUAAGUACAUAAUUAAGAUAUUUAAUACAAACAAGACAGUUCGAGAAUUAAUUACUAGACUAGAUUACCUAGAGAACGAGAAGAGAAAUAUGAUAAUGUGAUUGUAACAGGUUUGGAUAUAGACGUUGAGGAACCGGGAGUGUUAAAAUUGGCUAUGGGAAAAAUGAUAAACUUUACAGAUACAAGUAGAGAUUAAAUCAGCUCUUAAGAUAGAAGAGAGAACAUGUCUGCUGCAUUUCGUGUACUAAUCAAAUACUAGUACAUAUCUAAAAAUAUUCAAACUGAUUGUUGUGCAGUAACAUUUAUUAUUUUAAAACACAUUAUGGGCAUAUUCAAAAAUGUAAGUAAAAUAUUUGCAUAUACACAAUAUAAUUUAAAACAAAAAUGUUACCACUAGUCCAUUUUUUAAAUAUUAUUGAGAGCUGAUUUACUUACAAGACAAGAUAACACGAACAUUAAACACUCCUAUGACAUUGAUUUGAAAGAUGGAUGUAGGCGCAACCAGUGUUCAUUUAUGGGUAAUUGAAUGCUUACAGACUGGGUCAUGUCCAAUAUUAUUUUACAACCAACAGGGCAUACUAAUUGAUAAUCAUCCCGAAUUUAACAAUAAUGAUUUUUGUCUUAAGUAUUUCCAUGAAUGCUGUGCAAAAGGAAAUAUUAAUUAAGUUUGGUAAAUCGCAAUUUAUGGAACUCAUGGGCUCAUUUCCUAUCACUUUGAACUUAUGACAGUAUGAAUUUCCCAUUGUUUUCUUAUGUUCAAAUAGAAAAGAUACUUUUAUUUACCCA
rnacentral:lncRNA from 1 species